rnacentral:rRNA from 1 species
CAGAGGGUGCGAACGUUGUUCGGAAUUACUGGGCGUAAAGCGCGUGUAGGCGGCAGCGCAAGUCGGGCGUGAAAUCCCACGGCUCAACCGUGGAAGUGCACUCGAAACUGCGCAGCUAGAGUCCUGGAGAGGAAGGUGGAAUGCUUGGUGUAGAGGUGAAAUUCGUAGAUAUCAAGCGGAACACCGGUGGCGAAGGCGGCCUUCUGGACAGUGACUGACGCUGAGACGCGAAAGCGUGGGGAGCAAACAGGAUUAGAUACCCUGGUAGUCCACGCCGUAAACGAUGAGUGCUAGGUGUCACGGGCUUUGACCCUCGUGGUGCCGAAGCUAACGCGUUAAGCACUCCGCCUGGGGAGUACGGCCGCAAGGCUA